CCUACGGGAGGCAGCAGUAGGGAAUCUUGCACAAUGGGCGCAAGCCUGAAGGAGCAACGCCGCGUGGGUGAAGAAGGUCUUCGGAUCGUAAAACUCUGUUGUUAGAGAAGAAAGUGCGUGAGAGUAACUGUUCACGUUUCGACGGUAUCUAACCAGAAAGCCACGGCUAACUACGUGCCAGCAGCCGCGGUAAUACGUAGGUGGCAAGCGUUAUCCGGAUUUAUGGGGCGUAAAGGGAACGCAGGCGGUCUUUUAAGUCUGAUGUGAAAGCCUUCGGCUUAACCGGAGUAGUGCAUUGGAAACUGGGAGACUUGAGUGCAGAAGAGGAGAGUGGAACUCGAUGUGUAGCGGUGAAAUGCGUAGAUAUAUGGAAGAACACCAGUUGCGAAAGCGGCUCUCUGGUCUGUAACUGACGCUGAGGUUCGAAAGCGUGGGUAGCAAACAGGAUUAGAUACCCUGGUAGUC
rnacentral:rRNA from 1 species